rnacentral:rRNA from 1 species
UACGGGAGGGGGCGAGCGUUAUUCGGAAUUAUUGGGCGUAAAGGGCGCGUAGGCGGCUGUACAAGUCAAAGGUGAAAUCCCUCGGCUCAACUGAGGAACUGCCCUUUGAAACUGUACGGCUUGAGGCCGGGAGGGGGUAGCGGAAUUCCCAGUGUAGCGGUGAAAUGCGUAGAUACUGGGAGGAACACCAGUGGCGAAGGCGGCUACCUGGACCGGUUCUGACGCUGAGGUGCGAAAGCGUGGGGAGCAAACAGG